rnacentral:rRNA from 1 species
CCUACGGGAGGCAGCAGUGGGGAAUAUUGCACAAUGGGCGAAAGCCUGAUGCAGCAACGCCGCGUGAGCGAUGAAGGCCUUCGGGUCGUAAAGCUCUGUCCUCAAGGAAGAUAAUGACGGUACUUGAGGAGGAAGCCCCGGCUAACUACGUGCCAGCAGCCGCGGUAAUACGUAGGGGGCUAGCGUUAUCCGGAAUUACUGGGCGUAAAGGGUGCGUAGGUGGUUUUUUAAGUCAGAAGUGAAAGGCUACGGCUCAACCGUAGUAAGCUUUUGAAACUGAGAAACUUGAGUGCAGGAGAGGAGAGUAGAAUUCCUAGUGUAGCGGUGAAAUGCGUAGAUAUUAGGAGGAAUACCAGUUGCGAAGGCGGCUCUCUGGACUGUAACUGACACUGAGGCACGAAAGCGUGGGGAGCAAACAGGAUUAGAUACCCUGGUAGUCCACGCCGUAAACGAUGAGUACUAGGUGUCGGGGGUUACCCCCCUCGGUGCCGCAGCUAACGCAUUAAGUACUCCGCCUGGGAAGUACGCUCGCAAGAGUGAAACUCAAAGGAAUUGACGG